rnacentral:rRNA from 1 species
GGCCUUGACAUACUAAGAACUUUCCAGAGAUGGAUUGGUGCCUUCGGGAACUUAGAUACAGGUGCUGCAUGGCUGUCAUCAGCUCGUGUCGUGAGAUGUUGGGUUAAGUCCGCAACGAGCGCAACCCUUUUCCUUAUUUGCCAGCGGGUAAUGCCGGGAACUUUAAGGAUACUGCCAGUGACAAACUGGAGGAAGGCGGGGACGACGUCAAGUCAUCAUGGCCCUUACGGCCAGGGCUACACACGUGCUACAAUGGUCGGUACAAAGGGUUGCUACCUCGCGAGAGGAUGCUAAUCUCAAAAAGCCGAUCGUAGUCCGGAUCGCAGUCUGCAACUCGACUGCGUGAAGUCGGAAUCGCUAGUAAUCGCGGAUCAGAAUGCCGCGGUGAAUACGUUCCCGGGCCUUGUACACACCGCCCGUCACACCAUGGGAGUUUGUUGCACCAGAAGUAGGUAGUCUAACCGCAAGGAGGACGCUUACCACGGUGUGGCCGAUGACUGGGGUGAAGUCGUAACAAGGUAGGCGUAGAUGA